AACGAACGCUGGCGGCAGGCUUAACACAUGCAAGUCGAACGCCCCGCAAGGGGAGUGGCAGACGGGUGAGUAACGCGUGGGAACGUGCCCUUCGCUUCGGAAUAGCCCCGGGAAACUGGGAGUAAUACCGAAUACGCCGUAUUGGGAAAGAUUUAUCGGCGAAGGAUCGGCCCGCGUUGGAUUAGCUAGUUGGAGGUGUAAUGGACCCCCAAGGCUACGAUCCAUAGCUGGUCUGAGAGGAUGAUCAGCCACACUGGGACUGAGACACGGCCCAGACUCCUACGGGAGGCAGCAGUGGGGAAUCUUGGACAAUGGGCGCAAGCCUGAUCCAGCCAUGCCGCGUGAGUGAAGAAGGCCUUAGGGUUGUAAAACUCUUUCGCCGGAGAAGAUAAUGACGGUAUCCGGAGAAGAAGCCCCGGCUAACUUCGUGCCAGCCGCCGCUGUAAUAC
rnacentral:rRNA from 1 species